rnacentral:lncRNA from 1 species
AUAGCUUUAUUUGCACUGUUCCCUUCUUUAUCGAAUAGGGGUUCCUCCGUCACUUCAAAUUUGACUAGGGAUGAUAACAAGAGAACGCUCUCCACUAAUACUCCCGUAUGAUAUGCAGGUUAAAGCUCCUGUGUCAGAUGCUGAAGGCUUCUUAUCUCAUACCGCUUCGUCGUACUUCAGCUAAAUGGAAUCUUUCGUAAAACCAUCCUGAAAGUAAGGUAGCAUAUAGAUUCUUCGACCUCCUGGUCCUAAGGAAGUAAUCUCGAUAGGAAUGCC